rnacentral:rRNA from 1 species
UUUAACUGAAGAGUUUGAUCAUGGCUCAGAUUGAACGCUGGCGGCAGGCUUAACACAUGCAAGUCGAGCGGGGGAAGGUAGCUUGCUACUGGACCUAGCGGCGGACGGGUGAGUAAUGSYKRGGRRWMKGUAGCUUGCUACUGGACCUAGCGGCGGACGGGUGAGUAAUGCUUAGGAAUCUGCCUAUUAGUGGGGGACAACAUCUCGAAAGGGAUGCUAAUACCGCAUACGUCCUACGGGAGAAAGCAGGGGAUC